rnacentral:lncRNA from 1 species
ACAGAAGCAGCAUCCUCAUAAACUCUCUGGUCUGGCACAUUCAGGUCGAUGUCCAAAGGGUGGCGACCUUGUUUGCUAGCAGGAUUAUCUAUGAGAGGCACAUCAGUUGUAUUGAGUGGCAUCUCUAGAACCUUUCUAGGUUCAGCAGGCCGGAAAGCACUGGUAGCAGCUGAUCCUUUCCAUCCAAGCUCACCCUUAGUUCUCAAUAGGUUUUCAGGAGGAACAAAUGACCCUUUUGCUGCAGCAGUCACAGUAAUAGAAGCAGGGAAGCUCCCUGACACAGCAGAAAUAGGCACAGGAACAGGGCAGGGCACAUGAACAGCAGAUGAAUAUCCUGGAACCGAUGACUUAACAAGCUCUCCUUGACUCCCAUCAUCAGAAGGGAACCCCUCAUUCAAAUCAAAGUCUAACUUUACAGCCAUAUCUGAAC